UACGUAGGGUGCGAGCGUUGUCCGGAAUUAUUGGGCGUAAAGAGCUCGUAGGUGGUUUGUCGCGUUGUUCGUGAAAACUCACGGCUUAACUGUGAGCGUGCGGGCGAUACGGGCAGACUGGAGUACUGCAGGGGAGACUGGAAUUCCUGGUGUAGCGGUGGAAUGCGCAGAUAUCAGGAGGAACACCGGUGGCGAAGGCGGGUCUCUGGGCAGUAACUGACGCUGAGGAGCGAAAGCGUGGGGAGCGAACAGG
rnacentral:rRNA from 1 species